rnacentral:rRNA from 1 species
GGCGAACGGGUGAGUAACACGUGGGCAACCUGCCCCUCGCAGGGGGACAACCGGAGGAAACUCCGGCUAAUACCCCGUACGCUUGUUGGAUCGCAUGGUCCGACAAGGAAAGGUAGCUUCGGCCAUCCGGCGAGGGAUGGGCCCGCGUUGCAUUAGCUAGUUGGUGGGGUAACGGCUUACCAAGGCGACGAUGCGUAGCUGGUCUGAGAGGAUGAUCAGCCACACUGGGACUGAGACACGGCCCAGACUCCUACGGGAGGCAGCAGCCAGGAAUCUUGGGCAAUGGGCGAAAGCCUGACCCAGCAACACCGUGUGGGUGACGAAGGCCUUAGGGUCGUAAAGCCCUGUUGAUAGGGACGAAGGGCGAAGGGUUAAUAGCCCCUAGCUUGACGGUACCUUUCGAGGAAGCCCCGGCUAACUACGUGCCAGCAGCCGCGGUAAUACGUAGGGGGCGAGCGUUGUCCGGAAUUAUUGGGCGUAAAGAGCGUGUAGGCGGUUCGGUAAGUCUGCUGUGAAAUCCUGGGGCUCAACCCUGGGCGUGCAGCGGAUACUGCCGGGCUAGAGGGUGGUAGAGGCGAGUGGAAUUCCGAGUGUAGCGGUGAAAUGCGCAGAUAUUCGGAGGAACACCAGUAGCGAAGGCGGCUCGCUGGGCCACACCUGACGCUGAGACGCGAAAGCGUGGGGAGCGAACAGGAUUAGAUACCCUGGUAGUCCACGCCGUAAACGAUGGAUACUGGGUGUGGGCGGAGUCGAAUCUGUCUGUGCCGAAGUUAACGCGUUAAGUAUCCCGCCUGGGGAGUACGGCCGCAAGGCUAAAACUCAAAAGAAUUGACGG